rnacentral:tRNA from 1 species
CAGAGGGUAGUUUAAGUAAAAUAUUAACUUUGGGAGUUAAUGAUAAAAAGAUCUUUUUUUCUCUGA